rnacentral:rRNA from 1 species
UACAGAGGGGGCGAGCGUUGUUCGGAAUUACUGGGCGUAAAGGGCGCGUAGGCGGCCUGCUAAGUCGAACGUGAAAUCCCCGGGCUCAACCCGGGAACUGCGUCCGAUACUGGUGGGCUUGAAUCCGGGAGAGGGAUGUGGAAUUCCAGGUGUAGCGGUGAAAUGCGUAGAUAUCUGGAGGAACACCAAUGGCGAAGGCAGCUCACUGGGACGGUAUUGACGCUGAGACGCGAAAGCGUGGGGAGCAAACAGG